AACAUUCAUCACCGAUUAAACUAAAUUAGGCUUGACUCUCUCUUGUUUGGAGCAUAGUCUCCCCAGCAGAGUCGCCAGCUGUCGCAUCUCGAAAAAUACGACCCUUCAUGAAGGCGUUCACACGCUUGCAAAAAAAAUUAUUCGAAUAGAGUCGCCACCGAAAUUUAUUUAUUCCAAAGAAGGAAAGGGAAAAUAUCAAUAAAACUCAUUAAAAGAAAAAGAAGAUGGUCAUCAUAACCAACUUUUUUGAGAGUUGAUUAC
rnacentral:lncRNA from 1 species